UACAUGUGUAUCAGUUGAUUAAUGUUGACAGUCUAAGGAAAAGUCUCUAGUCUUUCAACCGUUACGUGUUUUUAACAGGUAAUUCAAGAAAAAUUGUGAAUAAAACUGUUGAGUGAUAAAGAGGAAUAAAACGUUAUAAAGAUGGAUUUCUACUACAUAUUGAUCGUCAUACUGAUCUUUUUAAAGGUCAUGUUCUGGACAUUUUUCUUCUAUAUGAGAAGCCAAAGGAUGCGAGAAGCUCGUCAACAGAGACGUUUUGUAAUUGUGGAAUCACGUCCUGUUCGUCCAAAUAAUGUUAACACAUCCGAUAGAGCAGGAAUUAUAAACAAUGAAAUCGUCCCCGAUUCAGGUUUUGCCACAGCACCGCCAUCAUAUGAUGAUGUUGUAUCAGAUAAUACAGCUAAACCUCCGUCUUACGAUCAGGUCAUUUCACAGUCUUCUCAACAUACGCCUAAACAAAAUACAUCCAUCAAUAUUCCCUCAUAAUAUUUUUGUAUAAAUUGAUUAAAUAUGUGUGAAAAAGAGUCCAUAUUCUGAACACAUUUUAUUACAGAUUGAUAGACUAAUAAUUAAGUAGAGAUUGCUUUGGACUGGUUAACCUGCUCUAAAAAGUCUGAUAUCAGGAUAUCCAGUCUUCUACAUGUGUUUUUUUGAUUGAAAUAGAGAAUGCAGUGGACUGGAUAACCUGUUCUAAAAAAGGUGGGGCGGAUUAGAGCAGGACUUCCAGUCUUAUAAGUAGACAGUCUUGGAAUACAGGACUACUACAGUAAAUUGCUUAUCUUGCUUAUCAGUCUGAUUGAAACACACAUCGUAUUUUGUUUCGUUUUUAUAGUUCAAAAUUUGUCUUUACUAUACUAGGAUCUCAAAGAGUUGUUAUCAUUAGCCAAUGAAACGGUCUGUUACAGUGAGCUUUUGGCAAGUGGUGCACGGAACUGUGGGUAAUCAAAUGUCUGAUGUCAUAGGGUCAAAAGCCGCUUGUAUGACCUCUGACACGACCUAUCACUACAACUGAUCAGAUCUUCAUGUAGUGUAAGCCAUCGAAAGUAAAAAAAACAAAAAACGAAACGAACUAUAGAUCUGUAUUAUAAUCAGAUUGAUAUAUCAUGUACAUUGGUAAGAUAUGAAUUCAUAUAAUGAUUCUCUAACUCUGCAUUAUGUUUAUAAAGGUAUUUAAUGAAAUCUAUUAAUAAUAGGGACCCAUGUACAUUGAUUAGAAAUGAUGUCAUAUAAUGAUUUACUAUUUUUACAAAUAAUUGUUGUUUUCUUACUUACAACCAUGACUUGUUAUUUUCCUCGAUAAAGGCAGGAUAUUUGUUUUGAUUAUGCAAUGAGAUAUUGUGUAUAUAUGCAUGGGCGUGGAUUAAGGGGGCGGGGGGAACGAGUCCUCCCAUUAAAAUUGGAAGGGGGGGAUGAAUAGGUAUCUGUCCGAGGGGUUGGAUGGCUGAAUGAUGAGCACGCGCGCGCUGUAUCAUAAGGCCUAUCUUUGAGUCAUUUGCCGUGGUUUCGAAUCCCCGGUUGUGCGUGACAAGGAGUAGGGUCGCCUGUCCAACCUCGUGGGUUUUCUCCCACUGCAAAAGACCCAUAUGCGCAAGAGAAUUAUUGAAAUAAAAGUAGACCAUGUGUUAGUCCGGAAAUGACCUGGAUUGUGUCGAGUGGAAGUUAAACCCCAUUUCUCUCCCUCUAGGUCUCUGUCCCCCUCAUGAUUUUGAUUGUCAGGACACAUUUUGAGGUUUAUAUCCACAUGAAUCACCCGUUCUGAAGGCUAUCUAACCACUGGCUUGGGUCUCGCCACAGUUACUGAUCUUUAAGAUAUCAUAUUAUUACAUAACACUGGUACAGUAAACUGUUAGUAAUAAUUAUUUUGGUUUGGUAAUGAAAUAUUCCAGGUUCCAGGGUUUUCGUCCGUCCCCUCCCCCCAAAGUUAUGACAAAUCCACACCCUUGUAUAUAUCAUACAGUAGUUAUAGCUUUAUUAUUACCAAGGGGAGAUAAAUCUGUUCUGGCAGAUCAAAUUGUAACAAGGUUCUAUUGUACAGAUCACAUUUUUAAUACACAAUGUAUGUUAAUACAUUUACGUUUUUUUUUUAAUUAUUUGUAACCGGUACCAGGAUCUUUCAAUUAUUGUGACUUUAGAUAUUUUUAAAGAUCAGAGAAAAAUAAUAAUACCCCCAAAUUAUUUCAUUAUAAUAGUUAUAUUUAUAACGUGGAUGUUGGGGUUCAAUGUUAUAAAAAAACCCCACUUAUAUAUAUUAUAAACUGUCUUCAUUAUUACAUGAAUGUUGGGGUUCGCAAACUAAAUCCAUGCUAUAAAAAACCCCACUGUUUAUAUAUUAUAGGGGAUGAAUGUUUAUAUAUUAUAUAUUGUUUAUAUAUUAUAAACAGUCAUCAUUAUAACGUGAAUGUUGGGGUUCGUGAAAUAAAUCCAUACUAUAAAAAAAAUGCUUAUCAUACAUUAUAAGGUUGUUUUUUUUUUUAGAACACUGUUGUUUCCAUGGCGACAGCUACAUGUAUAGUACAGUGAUAUGAUGAUAAAAUCGGAACUCACUGUAAGAUCAUUUGCCUUGUUUAUAUUUUUGAUUGAAUUAUUUCGUCCUAUAUUAACACAAAAAGAGAGAUAAUUUGCUUGUGCCUUGCAUGUAAAUAUGCUAUCUGUAGUUUAUCUAACUUUAUGAAUAAAUAUAGAAUGUAGGAGCUUAAGAUAAAAAGAUAUACACUCACAAUUUCAUGUGUGCUUACAUUUUAUUUUUUACACUGACCAAGAUAAUGACCCAUAGGCGCUCAAUUCCAUUAUGUCAUCAUUCUUCCACUUCGCUGAAGUCUUAUAGUAACUCUCACAAACGAAUUGACAGGUAGAUCUCUAGAUUCUGUCCCAUUUCUGAUCUCCUCCUACACAAGAAUUUGAUCCCACCAAUGACCUCAAAUACCAGGGUUGGGGGUCCGAACGAAAUUCUACCAAGACUUUCCUAUGCUAACCAAAAUGUAUUGUACAUUGAAAAGAUUUGGACAUAUAAAUUCAAACAACAUGCCAUUUAUAUUAUUGCUUCUAUUCCACUUGUAAAUAAAUUACGUCAAUCAUAUUCGGGUAAAAAUGUAUUGCCUAGACCUGUGAUUCUCAACCAGUGUGCCGAGGCACAUUUUAUUUUUUACACUGACCAAGAUAAUGACCCAUAGGCGCUCAAUUCCAUUAUGUCAUCAUUCUUCCACUUCGCUGACAGGUGUGCCGCAAGAUCUUCCCAAGUUUGCCGCCAAAUUUUUGGGACGGCACACUAAGAAAAUGCGAAAAACCAUGUGAUCCCAAUUGCGUAUUCACUGGUGUCUACUGGUAAGAUCACGGCUGUGUUUUUCUUUAUUUAGUUUAAGUCAUUCUAUUUGUCUAUGACUAGUCUCUGUCUACGGUGGUAUGCGAUCUAUUACUUGCCAUGUUUUUAUUUUGUAAAAUUCAAAUAUUUUUCAUAUAUAUUUAGCCAGGUGUGCUGCUAUUUUUUCAUGUGUUACAGAGUGUGUCUUUGGCAAAAAAGGGUUGAGAACCACUGGCCUAGACCAAGCUUUGACUAGCUUUUAUAAAAUGAAUUGACGUUAUAUGUAUCAAUAUUCUGAUAACUUUACGAUGUGAUCACAUAUAAUUUUAUAAAUUGGAAAAAUCCACCAAUGAUUCUGAACCCAUUAAUUUGUGCCUUUUUAUUUUUUUAAUUAAAAUUAUUAUUGCCUGUUAUUUGUGUUGAGGAAUUUCAGGCAGAUUGCUGAGUCACCAGGCCAGUUGAGUAGUCGUCAAGUUCGUUUGUGGAAGUCCUAUUUAUACGGAUAAUUCAUCUGUUGGGAUUUCUAACCCUAACCCUAUACCUUGUUUCGACCUCCCCCACCCGCUUGAAAUUAGAUUCACUACAUUAUGACUGAACAAAAAUUUGUGAUUUUAUUUCUGGAGUUUUUAUGUUAAUAAUUGAGUCGCAAACAUGAAUAUUUCCAUGUAGUUUUUGUUAGAUUAAUUAGGCAAACAUUGUAAUGCCCUUAUUAUUAUUGUAAAACCCUGAUAUUGUGUUAAAGAAGCUAAACCUCUUUGAUUUAUGUUAAAAUAUUGAAUUUUUUUUUCUUCAGAUUUGUAUGUUCUAUGUGAUAAAAUUUUAAUUUCUAAAGAUUAAGUGAAAGCUAGCUUGUAUACUUUUUGUAGUUUUAUCUUUUUUGCUUAGUCUGUCGACAGUCAAACACAAAAUUGGCUUUAUUGUCAUCACAUAAAUAGAAUCAACAAAUAAAAUCUAAUGAAAUAGACAUUAUUUAAAACUUUAAUCCAAAAGGGCUUAGUUAUUUUAACUUUAUGCAAAGAAACCUAGUUAUUUUAACUCUACUAUUAAAGGUAUUGGAGAUAUACCAUUAUUAUUUUUAUAUAUUUUACGUGAUAGUUGAGUGAUAAUUGAUUUAAAGUGCUCUUCUUUUAAUAAAUUAUACAUUUAUGUAUUAAAAUCUAUUAAGUAUU